CUGUUGCAGACAGAUGUGCCUAAUUAAUGCUGAAUAUGUCUGAAAUAUUGUUCAUUUCAUUACAUUUGAAAUUUACAGAGAAUGAACCAUUGCAUUGCGAAUUACUUGGGUGUCAGCUUCAGAAACUCCAUCACAUAAUUCUUUGGGGUGGCAAGAUCUACAGUUCUUAAGAAGACAGAAUUAAAAUACUUUGCUGAAGACCAUCCUUUUUCUCUGGUGAGAUAUAUACAUAUUUCCUAAAGUCCUAGUUGGUAGGAUGCUGAAGCUCAAGAGAAAUCCUACUAUUGGAAAGGAGAGCAGAUUUUAUGAGAAGAAAGGCCAAAAAACAUACUGAAGAAUUGACUAUUCAUAGUGGAUUGACAUGGAAGAUUUUCUUUCCUGGAAUGAAGUGUAAUAGAGGGGAAGGUACUGAGAUUCUACAGAUUUCAGCUAAUGUAGUUUCAUUAUCUUACAUUCAUGAAUCUUAUUAGAAAUGGGAAAGAUUUGAGAAAGAGAUGUUUAUCUGCAAAAUGUAUCAAAUUUCCAAGAAGUCUUCUGGGAGUAAAAUGGAUUUUCAUUUUGAGACUGUACAUCCAGGAAGAGAUUGCUCUGCUACCAUAAUUGCAAGCCACUUUGUUAGAAAAAGGGUACUUUUACUUUAAUCUAAUCUACUGAAAAGUUGUUCAUGAAGGAUGCCUGCUGUUUUCCUAUGCAUGUAUUUAUACUGUCAAUUUAUUGUUGAAUAGAUGAUCAAAACACAAGAAUGUCAAUUUGAAG